UGGCAUUUGGCAUUUGGACGUUUCUGAUGCUUAAGUAUCGAGAUCACCCUCUGAUACUUUCAAUCUCCCAAGUCCAGUCGACUACAACAGUUACUCUCCCCCUCAGUCCAACUCUUCAUCUUCUUCGUGCUACAGCUCUCCAACGCGGAUGGAUUUGAGCUCUAGUUUCUCUCCAGAAAAUUACCACUAUCAGCAUUGCAACCUACAGAAUUGCUUUUGUCUUUCGCAUUGGUCCAAUCUGCAGGAAGGCAUGGCAACCUCGGAGUUUGCGCCCUACGGCUCUUCAGACUGUUUGUAUUCAUAUGGCGACGACAGUUAUUUCAGAAGGGAUACUUCAAACUCAGAGAUGUGUUUCUUAUAAAAUGCAUUUUGAAGCUCUUUGCGCGAAAAUUCAGUGUCAUAAUUGAUUUAUUUGAAUGCAUUUGUUGUAUUUUAGAUUAGAUAAAAGAACAAGCAGUGAUAGAAUGCAUGAUUUACAAAUUAUUCAUUUAUCUUUUCUACAAUAAACAUAUUUUUUUCGUAAUUAUACUGGCAUUGGGGAAAUAUUUCAGAUUUACAGCGUGCAGUUUCUGUUUUCACUCUUGAAAUGUACAUCGGAGCUUCGAUAGUUUUUUUUUUUUUUACGUACAAAUACAGCUGUGGUACUGAGGGCUCAUUUAUUGUUUUGUAUAUCAACAUUCGACAUUAUGAAAAAUACCAGAAGAAAGCUUAACAAUGUGUUAUUUAUAAAAACAGAUUUUGUCCUGUAACUACAGCUGUUAACAUUUUUAUUUGCUCCUAACAAAUACACUGUAAAUGUCAACUCACACCGAAAACAUAAGUUUAAUCGUCUUCAUUAUUGUAAAGUAAAAACAAAGCAUGCAUUGCACUUUUUCAACCACUUUACUGAUUAAAUAUAAAGCUCACAAAAUUAGUUCAUUUGCAGAAGUUGUUUCUUAUAAGAAUAUUUGAUGAUUUAAGAUUUAUCUCACACCACAAACUGAUCAUGGAACAAGAAGUCAUUUUCACA
ensembl:lncRNA